GAUGAACGCUGGCGGCGUGCUUAACACAUGCAAGUCGAACGAGAAGUGGAGACGGAAACCUUCGGGCGGAAGACUUUAUUUCGAGUGGCGGACGGGUGAGUAACGCGUGGGUAACCUGCCUCAUACAGGGGGAUAACAGUUGGAAACGACUGUUAAUACCGCAUAAGAACACAGCACCGCAUGGUGCGGGGGUAAAAACUCCGGUGGUAUGAGAUGGACCCGCGUUCGAUUAGCCAGUUGGCGGGGUAACGGCCCACCAAAGCGACGAUCGAUAGCCGAUCUGAGAGGAUGACCGGCCACAUUGGGACUGAGACACGGCCCAAACUCCUACGGGAGGCAGCAGUGGGGAAUAUUGCACAAUGGGGGAAACCCUGAUGCAGCGACGCCGCGUGAGUGAAGAAGUAUUUCGGUAUGUAAAGCUCUAUCAGCAGGGAAGAAAAUGACGGUACCUGAGUAAGAAGCCCCGGCUAACUACGUG
rnacentral:rRNA from 1 species